AUCGAACGCUGGCGGCAGGCUUAACACAUGCAAGUCGAGCGGAGCGAGGGUGCUUGCACCUUAGCUUAGCGGCGGACGGGUGAGUAAUGCUUAGGAAUCUGCCUAUUAGUGGGGGACAACAUUCCGAAAGGAAUGCUAAUACCGCAUACGCCCUACGGGGGAAAGCAGGGGAUCUUCGGACCUCGUGCGAUUGGAAUGGCCGAUAUCUGAUUAGCUAGUUGGUGGGGUAAAAGCCCACCAAGGCGACGAUCAGUAGCUGGUUUGAGAGAACGACCAGCCACACUGGAACUGAGACACGGUCCAGACUCCUACGGGAGGCAGCAGUGGGGAAUUUUGGACAAUGGGCGCAAGCCUGAUCCAGCAAUGCCGCGUGAGUGAAGAAGGCCCUCGGGUUGUAAAGCUCUUUUGUCAGGGAAGAAAAGGCAUCUCCUAAUAUGGGGUGCUCAUGACGGUACUGAAGAAUCAGCACCGGCUAACUACGUGCCAGCAGCCGCGGUAA
rnacentral:rRNA from 1 species